rnacentral:ribozyme from 1 species
UUUAUGUAAAAUCGAUUUACCUUUUUGUGGUAGAUUCUAUAAGUACCAUUAUAAUAUGUGGGAAACUAAAUAAUCGA